rnacentral:tRNA from 1 species
GCCAGUUUCGCUUAGUGGUAAAGCAAGACUGACUCGUAACCAGCAGACCACGAGUUCGAUCCUCGUAACUGGCACCA